UACGAAGGGGGCUAGCGUUGCUCGGAAUUACUGGGCGUAAAGCGCACGUAGGCGGAUUGUUAAGUCGGGGGUGAAAUCCUGGAGCUCAACUCCAGAACUGCCUUCGAUACUGGCGAUCUCGAGUUCGGGAGAGGUGAGUGGAACUGCGAGUGUAGAGGUGAAAUUCGGUAGAUAUUCGCAAGAACACCAGUGGCGAAGGCGGCUCACUGGCCCGAAUACUGAC
rnacentral:rRNA from 1 species